AAUGAACGUUGGCGGCGUGGAUUAGGCAUGCAAGUCGGACGGGGCCGCAAGGUACCCGUGGCGCAAGGGUGAGUAAGGCGACGGCAACCCACCCCGGGGCCGGCCAUAGCCGCGGGAAACCGCGGGUAAUAGCCGGCGACGUCGCGGCCCGGCAUCGGGCCGCGAUCAAAGGUGCGAUCCCGCCCCGGGACGGGCCGUCGUGGUAUCAGCUAGUUGGCGGGGUGACGGCCCACCAAGGCCCUGACGCCUACCGGGCGUGCGAGCGCGGCCCGGCACACUGGGACUGAGACACUGCCCAGACUCCUACGGGAGGCUGCAGUCGAGAAUCUUCGGCAAUGGGCGCAAGCCCGACCGAGCGACGCCGCGUGGAGGACGAAGGCCUUCGGGUUGUAAACUCCUGUCGAGGGGGAGGAAGGCGCCGUGCAGAGCGGCGCUUGACCGAUCCCUGGAGGAAGCACGGGCUAAGUUCGUGCCAGCAGCCGCAGUAAUAC
rnacentral:rRNA from 1 species